AAAAAGACAAACCUUGAAUUUCCGUACCAACAUUUGACUCUUCGUCUUAUAUGAAUUUUUUUUAUAAUUAGUAUUUUCAUUAUUAUUAGAUGAUAAAACAUGAUUAAUACUUUAUGCAUGACUUAUUUUUUUAAUUUUUUUCAUAAUUUUUUUAAAUAAGACGGACGGUCAAACGUUGGACACGAAAAUCAUGGUUUGUCUUUUU
rfam:Oryza nivara chromosome 3, whole genome shotgun sequence.